CCGGCACGGGUGAGUAACACGUAUCCAACCUGCCGUCUACUCUUGGCCAGCCUUCUGAAAGGAAGAUUAAUCCAGGAUGGCAUCAUGAGUCCACAUGUCCGCAUGAUUAAAGGUAUUUUCCGGUAGACGAUGGGGAUGCGUUCCAUUAGAUAGUAGGCGGGGUAACGGCCCACCUAGUCAACGAUGGAUAGGGGUUCUGAGAGGAAGGUCCCCCACAUUGGAACUGAGACACGGUCCAA
rnacentral:rRNA from 1 species